AGCAAUUUGGCGCAGUGGAAGCGCGGUAUGUUUACACUCGAAUCUUUAAAUCAUCGGUUCGAAACUAAUUCAUCCCAGCCGGGCUCAUAACCCGGAGGUCGUACGAUCGAAACGUAUAAUUGCUA